CUUUGCCAUUUCCAUAAGCUAUAUUUCAACCGAAUGCACAUUGGAGUUAACUUUUAUUAUGUGAAAAGAAUCAGAUGAUUAAAUUAAUAUUAACAAAUGUAUUACUUGAAGGAAUCAUCUUUUAUAGUCUGUCACGGAAAUAGUCUUUAACCCCCCCAACAAGACUCUGAUAUUAAGAAACAUAAUUUUCCAUUCUUACCAAGAAAUACAGAUAUUUACCAGCAAAUAUGUGAGUAAAUACCAAGGUUGCUGAAUUGUUUGUGUUAACAGCAUUUUUCAGCAAGCAUUGCCAUGGAGACAUUUCAGGCAAGUAAACACUUCUCAGCAACUGAGCAUUUUUGAAUGCGCCCACACUGCUUACUCUAGUCUACAGAAUCCUAUGGGAGAAAGAGUGUGUAUGAAAAAGAUAAUUUGAAAGUAUUCUAAGUGGUACAAUGGAAAUAAAUUCAGUUAGAACUGGUUCAUCUCAACACUAAUCAGGCUUCAUGGGGUACUUCCUCAGUGACAGAAAAGACUGCCCAGGGAACAAAGCCUCAUCACAGUGCCGGAUGUCCAUGGACCCCGGGCAGACAACAGCGCCUCCCUCAUUCAUCUUUUCCAUGUGAAGAAAAGCAAACCUCUCUUCCUAGUGUGCUUUGGGAUUGGACAAUUGCCCUCUCUUCUCUCUAAGCUAAUUUUACAUAAAAUGAACUUCAGUAUGAUAGAAAGAAAAACAGAAAUAAAUUUGAUGAGAAACAGUACAAAAUUCAAGUGGAUUGUGUGGGGAACCGCAGUGCUAUAAUAAAUUAACAAAAUUAUAUUUUCAUUCUACUAAUGUGCAAGGCAUUAUCUUGUGUUUACAAAUCAUCUCUGCAGUAAAAAAAUAUUCUAGUUUGUGCCUUAUCUUUGCCCACUUUAAAAACUUUACUAUUAGACAAUACAAAGUAUCAAAUCAAAUCAGAUUCACGUAGAUCUAACUAAUACCAAAUUUUACUGAAAAUAUGAUGGAUGCUGGUAAUUGUAACAAACAGAAAAAAAAAACCAAAAACCAGAAAUCUGACCAACAAGGCAGGUCCUUUUUCUUCUGCUAUGAACACAUUUUUUAAAUUUCAAAAUUAACAUGUAAGGGUCUAACUCAUGCAUUGGGGCAUUAUUGCACAAAGGAAAUGCCUUUGUUAAGGAUUAUUUCCUAUUAACAUUUCAUUAAUCUGCAUAGACCAGGUAUAACCGGCUAAAAGCAUUUCAUAGAUAAGGGCUCUAUUGCUACCACAUAUCAUUGCUGUAUUGCCAUUAGCAUUUUUGCAAGAGUUUUGGAACAAAUCAUCAUUUUCUGUCUUUCCCAGGCAUCUCCUGUAGAGAGAGGAAAUAGAUUGUAGGCUGUUUGAGCUAUAAAGAUACCCUAAAAGUGCUCUUUCUACUCUCUAUUCUUAUGCAGUAACAUAUCCGGUAUCAGCUCAUACCAGACCAGAUACAUAAGGCAUGUUUCCCCACACACCAAACAAUUAACUCUGCAGUGGAUGCCAGCCAGAUGUCUUAAUUUAAAUCACUUCUGAUGCUGUCUACAUGAUGAAGGUUUAGUCUCACAAUAUAGUCCCCACUUUACACACCAGUUGUAAGUCUGGACCACCACAGACUUCUGACCAACUGGCUAUAAAUCAGGGUUUCUACAACUUUUGGGUUUGAUUUAUUUGCUAGAGCUGCUCACAGAAGUCAGGAAAACACUUUUAGUGUGUUGGUUUAUUAUAAAGGAUAUCACAAAGAGUGUGGAUGAAUGGCCAGAUAGAAGAGUUGCGUAAGGCAGG
rnacentral:lncRNA from 13 species